rnacentral:piRNA from 1 species
CUCCUGGUGGCCGGGAGGGCGGCGG